AGCACCUCGAGUGGUCAGGAGGUUUAUUGGGCCUAAAGCAUCCGUAGCCGGUUGUUUAAGUUUCCGGUUAAAUCUAUACGCUUAACGUAUAGGCUGCCGAAAAUACUGGACAGCUAGGGAGUGGGAGAGGUACACGGUACUCAAUAGGAAGGGGUAAAAUCCUUUGAUCUGUUGAUGACCACCUGUGGCGAAGGCGGUGUACCAGAACACGUUCGACGGUGAGGGAUGAAAGCUGGGGGAGCAAACC
rnacentral:rRNA from 1 species